CCUCUCGUCGUCGCCCCCUUUCCCAUCUCCUGCAUCAGCCUCGUUUAGUCUCUUAUACCCUGACAUUAGAUAUCUCUCUCUUUCUCUCUCCCUCUCUCCUGUCGUAUAGUGGUGGGUUACGGCGAUGUGAGUUGCGAUAGCGGUGUUUGGAAAGGCGAUGGGUGGUGGGGUAGCACGAUUGGAAGGUUGCGAUAGGGGUUGUGAUAGUGGCCAGAGGGGGAAGUCGUCGGACAACAGAUGGAGGUGAAAAGUCAGUCGCAUCAACCAUCGCAUCCGCCAUAGCUAGCCUCAUCUAUUCUCUUCUUUUUUUUCUUCAAACCCUAGAUCUAUGUUUUCCAGAUCUCUCUCUAUUGGUUAUGGUCGUAGGAAUUGUUGGUGAUGGCAAUGGCCGGUAGCAGAGAUUGGGCUGUGAUGGUAAUAGAAGAGAGGAGUCGUGGUGUUGGUGGUUGAGAAUUGCAACCGGAGGUGCGGAGGCUGCUGAUGAUGAUGGUGUGUGUUGAGAGAUUAGGGUAUAGAAAUUUGUCCAAAAAGGUAAUUUUACUGUGGUACAAAAUUGUAAUAUAAAAAAAAGAGAGUAAUAGUGUAUGCUGAGAGUGUCGAAGAUGUGCAAAUAAAAUUUCCCUUAAGUUUAUCAGCUGGGUGGAAAUAGAAUUUCCCUUCGCACAUGCAGUAACUAUGGUUCUGCCCUCAAUGAAAUUACCAUUAAGGACACAUCACUCCCACCUCACCGCCACCGGCCGCCACCGUUCCACCACCCCCAACGUCCUUAGAAGAAGAAGAAGAAGGUGGCAGCGGAAGGAGAGGUGGCAGCCAUGGGUGGUGGCUGUUUAGGGUUAUGAAUUGAUGGGGGUGUAAACGUAGCAUUGAAUGGUGUGUAGUGAGAUGAUGUAUGGUGUGCAAUAUGCAUUUCGAGUUCUUCAGACCCCAUGAACAAAAAUAUGGUAAUAGUGAUUUGAUUGAGGGCAUAGAUUUUCUCUUUGAAGUGAACACAAAGCACUCAAAAGACUAAUAGCUUUUCCUCAGUUUUCUUGCCAGCCAAACAGUCCAUCAUUUUAAAUUUAUUUUCACUAGUUUACUUGAUUGAUUUGAAAAUUAUGUUGUCUUUUGCAGUUAUCACAGAUGAUUGUUCGAGUUUUGGUUUACAAUUACGUUUUUUGUGUUGAUUAAUUCAAUGUCUGUGUGCUUGGUGCCAAAAGCUUUUAUUUCUUUGUGGAAAACUGCAAUGAUUGUUUUUGUAAUUAUGUGUAGUGAUGCUUUUAGUUCUCUUGUUUGUCUUGCUGAUUUCCUCAAUCUGUGAGUUUAAUUUCAUUACAAUCACAAUUUCUUAUUUUAUUUAUUUAUUUUUCCAUUACAUAUACACAUACACACAUAUAUGUAUAUGCAUAUUUAUAUACAAUACAUGUUUCACAUUUUAAAUUGUGUAUUGGAAAUGUGAUGUGAUGUGGUCGUAAGGUUUUGUGGGAUUUGCUUUUUCUCUAUUUGGCAACAUGGAAUUCAAGCCCUGAAUUUGUAGUUGAAAAUUAUCUUAGUUCAAAAUUUGAACCAAGGUCGUUUCCAAUUCCAAUUCCAAUUCCAAUUCCAAUUCCAAGGUGUGAAUUCCACAUUGCCAAAUAUAGUUUGAAAAAUGCAUCAUGUGGCAGUAUUUUGUUGUUAUGUCAUCUAGGAAGGAUUAUGAAUUAUUGUUCAUACUAUGGGGUGCAUGUUACCUUGAGGAGGUAGUGAAGUGUGGUCUGUUUACUCAGAUAAGCUGAAGAUUAGGUGUCACUACUCGUGUGUACCAAACCAAACUAAGCCUUGUGUCCCAGUUAGGUGGGGUUGGCUACAUGAAUCCUUUUUCGCCAUUCAGCUCUAUUGCUUUCAUUGUUUUCAUGUAGGCUGCAGCAUGUAAUUUGGCAAUAUGCAGAACAUACCUUGGUGUUACCGUUGGGGGACACUUCUUGUAUUUGCUACUUUUAGUUUUUUUGGUUUAGCACUUAAUUUUUUGGUGAACAGGAUGUAGUUUUUUACUAGGAGUACAAAGUAGAAAAUUGAAGAUUGAUAAUCUUGAAGAUAACAAAGGUCAGCAUGUUUGUUAUCUUGCACCAAUCUAACCUGUUGUAUGUGGCAGCUCAUAAAAGUUCUCUUGGUGUUCACUUGAGUAUAAUAUUUAAUUGCUUUUGCUUUUUCAAAGUGCUUGUGCCUCGUCAAUCCUCCUUCAAUGGAAGUAACUCGUUCUCUCUCACAUUAUUAUCAAGUAUAUUUCUCUUUAUUUGGAUAGGUUUUAUUGAUUCCAACUUAGUGCUUGCAGUAUGCUCAUAUCCUAAGCUUGGUUCCAUCAUGAUCAGUGAUGGAAAAUCUAAAGGCUUUCACUUAAAAAAAUAUUAUUUAUUUACUCCUGUAAAUUGUAAUGAUGAUAUUGUUCUUAUCUAUUUUCAUAUGUGCUGCUUCGUAUGGCCAUUGCCAAAUGGUGACUACUUUUGAGGUUGUUUCUAGGGAAUUUUGCAACGUUAGCUGAAAAGCUCCUGCAUUUUCCAGGUUUGAGAGUUUUUGCUGCUUCAAACCUUCUUUGCUUCUAGAUAUAUUAAACUGUAAUUCAAUUUAACCUAUAUAAGUGUUCCUAGACCGCCUAUCCCUUUUUCUUUAACAAGAGUUGAUGUCAUUUUUAGUUCCCUGGUUUAGUUCAUGGAUGUUGCUUACAGUAAGGUAUCAGUAAUUGUUUUUGUAUAUGUUUAUCAUAUCUUACUUUUAACUUCUUUUUCUUUUUAAUUGCUCUUUCCGAAUUGAGGAGAUCGAUUGAGAAAGCACAGUAUUUAAUCCCUCAAAUAAGAUGGUAAAACCAGAGAUGAAUGACCUGCUGGACUGUUCUUGCUCAGGAUUCAAUUAUAUUUGAGGAUAUUGUUCUCUUUGUAAAGCAUUUUAGUUCCCGAAAUGCCUUGCUUUGACAUAAUUUUUUGGUCAUCACUUCUGGUGGGCCCAUUAUACUGACAUGCACAUUUUGGGAACAUUUUGACAGAGCCAGGUCAUCCUGUUUCCUCUGCAAAAUAUGCACAUCAUGAAAUUGAAUGUAUAUUCUGGAGAACUCAAAGCUGGAAACAAUUCUCAUGUCCUUCUCAACAACUUUACCGUUCCUCGCUUCAACUGGUUGUCACCAGUAUUUCUUUGGUUCAGGGUUUUGGGUUGGGCCCUAUAAAUUGUGAGAGGGACAAACACACGCCGUAGCCAUCCUCUCCAUCUCCACAAUUGAGUUCAUCAUCACUCCAGAGACCGAGAGGAUUGAAGGCCAUGGGAAGCAGCAUGGGGAGCGAUUUAGAAUGACGGUGAAGGAAGGAUGGGGGUUACCUUUGGAUUUUUAUUUCUCUUCUUUUUUCUUUUUUUCCUCUGAUCUGACUUUUGGGGAGGGGGGGAGGGAGAGGGAAGAGGGUAAUGUUAUUUUGUGGCUUUGUAUACAAAGUAGUAAUUUUUUGAUUGAGAAUUCUGAAUUCAAUUUUUGGGUAUGUUAUUUUGUGGGUAAUGGUGAUUGGAUAUUAAAUUGAAUGGGAAAGUGAA